AUUGAACGCUGGCGGCAUGCUCUACACAUGCAAGUCGAACGGUAACAGGCCGCAAGGUGCUGACGAGUGGCGAACGGGUGAGUAAUGCAUCGGAACGUGCCCAGUCGUGGGGGAUAACUACUCGAAAGAGUAGCUAAUACCGCAUACGAUCUAUGGAUGAAAGCGGGGGACCGUAAGGCCUCGCGCGAUUGGAGCGGCCGAUGUCAGAUUAGGUAGUUGGUGGGGUAAAGGCUCACCAAGCCAACGAUCUGUAGCUGGUCUGAGAGGACGACCAGCCACACUGGGACUGAGACACGGCCCAGACUCCUACGGGAGGCAGCAGUGGGGAAUUUUGGACAAUGGGCGCAAGCCUGAUCCAGCAAUGCCGCGUGCAGGAAGAAGGCCUUCGGGUUGUAAACUGCUUUUGUACGGAACGAAACGGCUCUGGUUAAUACCGGGGGCUAAUGACGGUACCGUAAGAAUAAGCACCGGCUAACUACGUG
rnacentral:rRNA from 1 species